GAUGAACGCUGGCGGCGUGCCUAAUACAUGCAAGUCGAGCGAACGGACGAGAAGCUUGCUUCUCUGAUGUUAGCGGCGGACGGGUGAGUAACACGUGGAUAACCUACCUAUAAGACUGGGAUAACUUCGGGAAACCGUAGCUAAUACCGGAUAAUAUUUUGAACCGCAUGGUUCAAAAGUGAAAGACGGUCUUGCUGUCACUUAUAGAUGGAUCCGCGCUGCAUUAGCUAGUUGGUAAGGUAACGGCUUACCAAGGCAACGAUGCAUAGCCGACCUGAGAGGGUGAUCGGCCACACUGGAACUGAGACACGGUCCAGACUCCUACGGGAGGCAGCAGUAGGGAAUCUUCCGCAAUGGGCGAAAGCCUGACGGAGCAACGCCGCGUGAGUGAUGAAGGUCUUCGGAUCGUAAAACUCUGUUAUUAGGGAAGAACAUAUGUGUAAGUAACUGUGCACAUCUUGACGGUACCUAUUCAGAAAGCCACGGCUAACUACGUG
rnacentral:rRNA from 1 species